rnacentral:lncRNA from 1 species
GGGGAUUUUAGAAGAAAAAAAUGCGUCAUUUUUGAGAUAAACGGGAUUCUCGAAGAGAAAACGCGUGAUUUUUUGUUUAAUGGGGGAUUCUUGAAGAGAAAGCCUGUGUGAUUUUCGGGUUAAAUGGGGGAUUCCCAAAGAGAAAACGCGUGAUUUUCGGGUCAAAUGGGGGAUUCUCGAAGAGAAAACGCGUGAUUUUUGCUUAAAUGGGUGAUUGUCAAAGAGAAAACGCGUGAUUUUCUCUUAAAUGGGGGAUUUGCGAAGAGAAAACGCGUGAUUUUCGCUUAAGUGGGGGAUUCUCAAAGAAAAAACGCGUGAUUUUCUCUUAAAUGGGGGAUUCUCGAAGAGAAAACGCGUGAUUUUCACUAAAAUGGGGGAUUCUCGAAGAGAAAACGCGUGAUUUUCGGGUUUAAAUGGGGGAUUUGUGAAGAGAAAAUGCGUGAUUUUUGGGUUAAAUGGGGGAUUGUCGAAGAGAAAACGCGUGAUUUUUGCUUAUAUGGGGAAUUUCCGAAGAGAAAACGCGUGAUUUUUUGGUUAAAUGGGGGAUUGUCGAAGAGAAAACGCGUGAUUUUUGCUUAAAUGGGGAAUUUCCGAAGAGA